GGCACCAGAAUUAAGUUAGGGUUUUUCAAAAUGCUGACAUGCCGAGCUCAAAAGGUUCGCUAUCACUGUCCUAGGACUUGGUAAGGCUGAAUGUAUGUAAGAAAAUGACAACUUGGAACUUUAACUCCAGCUGUACGUGGUUUACCUCAAAAUUCUUAAAAAGACCAGAAUCCCUGAAUCCGUCUAAAAUUUACCAAAUUUCAGGAUCUUCUCCUAAUUUGGACUCCCUCGACUAAUGGCCUUUGGCAAGUAUCAGUGGCCUUUGGCUUGGUAAACACUCCCUUAUGUUGAAAGUUAACCCAUUGUCACAAACUUGUAGGAGUCUGUGUGGAAUUUAUUUGGACCUGCACACGCAUUCAUAAGUGACUUUUAAUGAAUAAUGCCAAGUUGAUUAGAAACUGAUGCAGUCCAGCCAGCCUGGCUCAGUGGUUGAGCAUCUACCUGUGCACCUCCGAAGGCACCUUGUGAAAGUGACAGUUGAAGGAGAAAAAAAAAGAGAGAAGAAGAAGAAAAGAAAAAAGAACCAAUAACUGGAUCUUAAGGAACACCUACAUUAAGGCUCAGAUGAAGGAGUAAAAGUCUGAGAAAUAGGAGAUUGAAGUUUAGAUGGCAAACCCUCUGUAAGAAAAAGGGCUUUGAUUAUUACACCUGAUUAAAACUAAAGGGUACACAAGCAAACAUCUAGGUAGAAAUGGUAAUUGAGGCAAUAGGUGGGAAAAGAUAUACUUUUGGAAAUGUUUACCUUUCCAAGCUAUGUCUACCAAGGGUAUAGAUCAAAUGAUACAGUGAGUAUAAAAGCAUUUUUAAAUAAAUAAAUCACCAACUUAAGGUAAUUACUUUGACUCCUACUACCAGAUUUCAUUUGCUAAAUCCUAGUAGAUCUAGUUCAAUGUUCCCUCUGUUAAGAAAAAUCUCAUUUAGACAUUUCGAAAGCUUUUUAGGUCACACUUGAAUUUUUCUGCUAUGAUGCCAUAAAGCAACGUAGCAAAAGGAAGAAACAAACAGACAAAACAUCACUUAUUUAUUCUGUCAAUAAAAGAAGAAAACUGAUUAAAUUCAGGAACUAGAUUGAGAGCCUAAAGGUACUGAGAACAGAUGCUAAAUACCUGAGAUGGGUCCCUUUGUUUCCCUUAAAAUACUGGACAAAUAAUAAACUUUGGUAAUUCUGGAGAACUGCAUUUUACAUCACUCCUCCAAGAAGAAUAGCAACACUGUUUUUCUCAGUACAGUUGUGACAACAUUUUUCAAUUUUAUCUCCGUUGCAGUGGGAAAGGUCUCGCUGGCCUCACCAUUUGGAAAAAGAGGAAGACAAGAGGGAAUUAUGUUUGAAAUCUGGUCCAUUAAACAAACAAUAGAGACUUAACCACCUCUGAUCUGAGCCUCCCAGGUGUAAAGCAGGUGCUGAAACACCAACUGUCACCCCUGGAAGACUCUUGUUUUCAAAAAAAUAUUCUUUUUAUUGUUUACCAAGUCAAUUUGAGGCUAAGCCAUUAACGAAAAGGUGGUUUUCAAGAAAAAUAAGUGUUCGUUUGGAUUUUUUAUUGAGAAAAAUAAGACAAAUUCGGGAACUGUUGGGAGAUAAUGGCUGGUUCUGAGAUCCGUAUAUUUUGACAAAUAUAUAACCUGCAUUUGAAAUUUUGAGUGUGAUAAGAUACUAAAUGAAAGAAGGACUUAAAUGUUGGGAAAACUUACUUUUUUCAAACAGUGUGGUCAGAAUGUAUCAAGACCUUACAGUGGAAUAAGGGCACAGCCACAAAACGUUUCCAGCUCCGAUUAGCAGGUUGCAUGAUUCACUGAGUUGGCCCAACUACUGUUCACCUAAUUCCCAGCUAAGACGAAACGCUCCUGGUGUGGCAUGUCAGGAGGCCGGAUGACACUUUCAAGUACCUGCAGGAUAAAUAAAGAUUUUUUUUUAAUUGCCUUCCACUUGGAGUGACUACAGAGACUCUUACACUGCAUAGUUCAAACUGAGAAGAGUGAAUUACCCGAAAGGCAAGAGAAAACAAGGAGAGGCGCAUUUUGAACCAAAAGGAAAUUAUUUCCGAAGACAGUGUCUGGAGGAGGAGGAGCCGUUACUGAGUAACUCAGAAAAUAAUCUCGCCAGGACGCCUCCUGCGGCGACUGAAGGGUCCGGUGUUCGAUUCCAGUCAAGGGCACAUGCCUGGAUUGUGGAC